CCUGCCGGACCUGACUGCUAUCGGAUUGAUACUAAGCCAUGCAAGUCUUUGUAGUAAUACAAGGCAUACGGCUCAGUAACGCGUAGUCAACCUACCCUAUGGAUGGGAAUAAUCUCGGGAAACUGAGCAUAAUACCCAACAGAUCAUCAAUUCUGGAAUGGUUAAUGAUUAAAAUGAUUUUUCGCCAUAGGAUGGGACUGCGGCCUAUCAGCUUGUUGGUGAGGUAAUGGCCCACCAAGGCGAUUACAGGUACGGGCUCUGAGAGGAGAAGCCCGGAGAUGGGUACUGAGACAAGGACCCAGGCCCUAUGGGGCGCAGCAGGCGAGAAAACUUUGCAAUGUGCGAAAGCACGACAAGGUUAGUCCGAGUGAUUUCUGCUAAAGAGAUCUUUUGCUAGUUAUAAAACCACUAGUGAAUAAGGGGUGGGCAAGUUCUGGUGUCAGCCGCCGCGGUAAAACCAGCACCUCAAGUGGUCAGGAUGAUUAUUGGGCCUAAAGCAUCCGUAGCCGGCUCUGUAAGUUUUCGGUUAAAUCUAUACGCUCAACGUAUGGGCUGCCGAAAAUACUGUAGAGAUAGGGAGUGGGAGAGGUAGACGGUACUCGGUAGGAAGGGGUAAAAUCCUUUGAUCUAUCGAUGACCACCUGUGGCGAAGGCGGUCUACCAGAACACGUUCGACGGUGAGGGAUGAAAGCUGGGGGAGCAAACCGGAUUAGAUACCCGGGUAGUCCCAGCUGUAAACGAUGCAGACUCGAUGAUGCAUUGGCAUAUAGCCAGUGCAGUGUCGCAGGGAAGCCGUUAAGUCUGCCGCCUGGGAAGUACGUACGCAAGUAUGAAACUUAAAGGAAUUGGCGGGGGAGCACCACAAGGGGUGAAGCCUGCGGUUCA
rnacentral:rRNA from 2 species